GUAUAAUUUAAAGAAGCCAUCAAAAGUGUUCCUGGCAAAAUGGAUACCGAAUUAGCAGAAUCAGGAUCGAACUUCAGUGCUGGACAGAGACAACUGGUGUGUCUUGCUAGGACUAUUCUCAGGAAAAGUCAGAUAUUGAUUAUUGACAAAGCAACUUUUAAUAAACAUUUCUACAACUUACAAGCCAAAUGUGGACCCAAGAACUGAUGAGUUAAUACAAAAAUAGUCCAUGAGAAAUUUGUUCAGUGCACUGUGCUAACCAUCACAAACAGAUUGACCACCAUUAUUGACAGCGACAGGAUAAUGGUUUUGGAUUCAGGGAGACUAGAAGAAUACGAUAAGCCAUAUGAUUUGCUGCAAGAUAGAGACGGCCUGUUUUACAAGAUGGUGCAACAACUGGGCAAGGACGAGGCUGCUGCCCUCAUUGAAACAGUAGAACAGGCCUGUUUGGCUGGUAUGUGCCUACGGCCAUUUACUCAUUUCUGGUUUUGCUGCAACACUGCUCCCAAUGAGACCAACUGAAAGCAGCACUUGACGAAAAGCAUCUGGAAUUAGUCAACAGAAAAUGCAUAAUCUUCCAUCAGGAUAAUGCAAGACCUCAUGUUUUUUUGAUGACCAGGCAAAAACCAUUACAGCUUGGCUGGGAAGUUGUGAUCAUCUGCCAUAUUCACCAGACAUUGCAUCUUCGGAUUUCUAUUUAUUUCGGUCUUUACAAAAUUCUCGUAAUGGAAGAAGUUUCAGUUUCCUGGAAGGCUAUAAAAGGUACCUGGAACAGUUCUUUCCUCAAACAGACAAUAAGUUUUGGGAAGAUGGAAUUAUGAAGUUGCCUGAAAAAAGGCAGAAAGUAGUGGAACAAAACGGUGAAUACAUUUUUUAAUGAAGUUCUUGGAGAAAAUGAAAAAUGUCUUAUUUUUACUUAAAAACUGAAGGAAUUUUUUUGGCCAGCCCCAAAUUUUACAUAUAGUAGUGAGUGUAUGAAGCUCCUGAUUUAUCCCUCCUCCCCUGACGUUUCCCCUUUGGUAACCAAUAGUUUGUUUUCUAUGUCUGUGAGUCUAUUUAUGUAUUGUAAAUAACUUCAUUUGUAUCAUGUUUUUAAGAUUCCACAUAUAAGUGAUAUCACAGGAUAUUUGUCUUUUUUUGUCUGACUUACUUCACUUAGUAUGAUAAUCUCUAGGUCCACAUAUGUUGCUGCAGAUGGCAUUAUUUCAUUCUUUUUAUGGCUGAGUAAUAUUCCAUUGUGUAUACAUGCCAUGUCUUCUUUAUCCAUUCAUCUGUCAAAGGACUUAGGUGCUUCCAUGUCUUGGCUAUUGUAAGUAGUGCUGCAAUGAACAUUGGGGUGUAUGUAUCCUUUUGAACCAUGGUUUUCUCCAAAUAUAUGCCCAGGAAUGGGAUUCCUGGAUAAUAUGGUAGUUCUAUUUUUAGUUUUUUAAGGAACUUCCAUACUGUUCCCCAUAGUGGUUGUACCAAUUAACAUUCCUACCAAUAGUGUAGUAGGGUUCCCUUUCCUCCACACCCUUGCCAGCAUUUAUUGUUUUAGGCUUUCUGAUUAUGUCCAUUCUGACCAGUGUGAGGUGAUACUUCAUUGUAGUUUUGAUUUGCAUUUCUCUGAUAAUUAGUGAUGUUGAACAUCUUUUCACAUGCUUUAUGGCCAUCUCUAUGUCUUCUUUGGAGACAUGUCUAUUUAGGUCUUCUGCCCAUUUUUGAUUGGGUUGUUUGGGUUUUUUUCUUUUUUUGAUACUGAGCUAUAUGAACUGUUUGUAUAUUUUGGAAAUUAAUACCUUGUUGGUCAUCACAUCAUUUGCAAAUAUCUUCUCCCAGUCUGUAGGUUGUCUUUUCAUUUUGUUUAUUGUUUCCUUUGCUGUACAAAGCUUGUAAGUUUAAUUAGGUCCCAUUUGCAUAUUUUUGUUUUUAUUUUCAUUACUCUAGGGAGUGGAUCAAAAAAGACAUUUCUGCAAUUUAUGUCAGAGUUCUGCCUAUGUUUUCCUCUAAGAGUUUAUAUAGCCCUACAUUUUUUUUGUGUGUGUGUAUGAUGUUUGAGAAUGCUCUAAUUUCAUUCUCUUACAUGUAGCUGUCCAGUU
ensembl:lncRNA